GAGGAUCCAAACUACACACUGGACAAACUCAAUCUGAAUCAUGGAGAAGAGAUGAGGAUUACAGCAGGACCACACAAAUAUACCUGUUUUCUCACACUGGAUCCAAACACAGCAAACACUCUUCUCAUUCUGUCUGAGGAGAACAAAAAGGUGAAGCGUGUGAAGGAGAAACAGCCGUAUCCUGAUCAUCCAGACAGAUUUGAUGUUCAUCCUCAGGUGUUGUGCAGAGAGAGUGUGUGUGGACGCUGUUACUGGGAGAUUGACUGGAGUGGAGAUGUUGUGGAAAU